rnacentral:rRNA from 1 species
CUACGGGAUGCUCCAGUUUCGAAUAAUUCACAAUGGGCGCAAGCCUGAUGAUGCGACGUUACGUGAAGGAAGAAAGCUUUAAGCUGUAAACUUCUGUCGUUAAGGAACAAAAAAUUAAGUAGUACUUUUUAUAUUGAGUUAACCUAAAAAGGAAGCAGUGGCUAAUUUCGUGCCAGCAGCCGCGGUAAUACGGGAACUGCAAGCGUUGCUCGGUUUUAUUGGGCGUAAAGAGUACGUAGGCUGUUAUAUAUGUUAAUUGUUAAAUUUUAAAGUUAAUCUUUAAAUUUGCUGUUAAAACUAUAUAACUAGAAUUUCAAAGAGGUAAGUGGAAUUUCAAGUGUAGCGGUGAAAUGCGUAGAUAUUUGAAGGAACACCAAUGGCGAAAGCAACUUACUGGGUGAUAAUUGACGCUAAAGUACGAAAGUAUAGGGAGCAAAAGGGAUUAGAUACCCUAGUAGUC